CUUCGGGUGAGCGGCGGACGGGUGAGUAACGCGUGGGAAUGUGCCCUUUGGUACGGAACAACACAGGGAAACUUGUGCUAAUACCGUAUGUGCCCUUCGGGGGAAAGAUUUAUCGCCAUUGGAGCAGCCCGCGUUGGAUUAGGUAGUUGGUGGGGUAAAGGCCUACCAAGCCUACGAUCCAUAGCUGGUCUGAGAGGAUGAUCAGCCACACUGGGGCUGAGACACGGCCCAGACUCCUACGGGAGGCAGCAGUAGGGAAUCUUGCGCAAUGGGCGAAAGCCUGACGCAGCCAUGCCGCGUGAAUGAUGAAGGUCUUAGGAUUGUAAAAUUCUUUCACCGGGGAAGAUAAUGACGGUACCCGGAGAAGAAGCCCCGGCUAACUUCGUGCCAGCAGCCGCGGUAAUACGAAGGGGGCUAGCGUUGCUCGGAAUUACUGGGCGUAAAGGGCGCGUAGGCGGAUAGUUUAGUCAGAGGUAAAAGCCCAGGGCUCAACCUUGGAACUGCCUUUGAUACUGGCUAUCUUGAGUUCGGGAGAGGUGAGUGGAAUGCCGAGUGUAGAGGUGAAAUUCGUAGAUAUUCGGCGGAACACCAGUGGCGAAGGCGACUCACUGGCCCGAUACUGACGCUGAGGCGCGAAAGCGUGGGGAGCAAACAGGAUUAGAUACCCUGGUAGUCCACGCUGUAAACGAUGAGUGCUAGUUGUCGGCAUGCAUGCAUGUC
rnacentral:rRNA from 1 species